rnacentral:rRNA from 1 species
UACGUAGGGUGCAAGCGUUAAUCGGAAUUACUGGGCGUAAAGCGUGCGCAGGCGGUGAUGUAAGACAGUUGUGAAAUCCCCGGGCUCAACCUGGGAACUGCAUCUGUGACUGCAUCGCUGGAGUGCGGCAGAGGGGGAUGGAAUUCCGCGUGUAGCAGUGAAAUGCGUAGAUAUGCGGAGAAACACCGAUGACGAAAACAAUCCCCUAAACCUGCACUAACGCUCAUGCACGAAAACGUAAAAAGCAAACAGG